AGAGUUGAUCAUGGCUCAGGACGAACGCUGGCGGUGUGCCUCAUACAUGCAAGUCGAACGAGAAGUUACCUCGGGUAAUGGAAAGUGGCGGACGGGUGAGUACAACAUAGGAAAUCUGCCCUAAAGCGGGGGACAACAGAGGGAAACUCCUGCUAAUACCCCAUAUGAGCUUAGUUGAAAUACUAAUCUUGAAAGAUUUAUCACUUUAGGAUGAGCCUGUGCCUGAUUAGCUGGUUGGUGGUGUAAUGGACUACCAAGGCGACGAUCAGUAGCUGGUUUGAGAGGAUGAUCAGCCACAAUGGGACUGAGACACGGCCCAUACUCCUACGGGAGGCAGCAGUAGGGAAUUUUGCGCAAUGGGGGAAACCCUGAACCGCAGCAACACCGCGUGAAUGUUAAGCCCUUCGGGGUGUAAAGUUCUGUCAAUAGGGAAGAAUAAAUGACUGUACCUAUAAAGGAAGCACCGGCUAACUCCGUGCCAGCCGCUGC
rnacentral:rRNA from 1 species